rnacentral:lncRNA from 1 species
UGUUUUGAGUGGCUGCCAGUAUUUUGUAAUCAGUGUUGUAAAGUUUUGUGAUACUCUUGAUGUCUGCAGAUGUUAUGUGGCCCGUGGCACAGAGCUGAUGUUCUAAAUUACCAAUUAUAUACCUAAUGGAGCCCCGAGAACCAACUCCUGCCCUCCUUUGGGUACCGGGGCAGUCUUUAAAUGCCAGCAAAGGACCGAUGCUAUAAAUAAAACUCUGUCUCCAUAGCGACAGGCAGUUCAGUGCUCAGCUUUCAACACUUUAAGAAGAUCAAGUUGAAGGCAACUUCUAAGUCCUAUCUGCUACUGCUUUAAGUGGUGACUGAGAGGAGUUCUCACUGGGAACUGGAUGACUCUUCAGUCUGAUGAAUGAAGGAAGGCAUGUAAUGGACAUCUCGGAAUCUCUGCCUUAGCUUCUUGAUGCCAACUGUACCUGCUUCAAGCAAGAGUGUUCCAGUUCUUAAAGAUCUCCUACACAGCAUAGCUACUGCAAUGCCAAGUCCAUUGUG